rnacentral:rRNA from 1 species
CCCAGUGAGUAUAUUAAAUGGCUGCAACGAGAGUUGUACUAAGGUAGCGCGAUAAUUUGUCUCUUAAUUAGAGAAUGGUAUGAAGGGUUAGACGUGGGAUUAUUGUCUCUAAAAAAUACAGUUAAGUUUCCUUUUAAAUGAAAAGGUUUAAAUUUAUUAAAAGACGAGAAGACCCUGUCGAGCUUAAUUAAAUAAAAAACUAGAUAUGGUUAAAUGAAAAGUGUUAAUAGUUUAAUUGUUGGCUGAGUUUUUAAUUGAAGUUUAGUUGGGGAGAGCUGAGUUUAAGGUAAUAAACUUAAGAAAUACUAAAGAUCCUCUUUGAGAGAAGUUAGCAAAAGCUACCGCAGGGAUAACAGCGUAAUUCUUUUUAAGAGAUCUUAUUGAGGGAAGAGUUUGCGACCUCGAUGGUGGAUUAAAAAAACUUUUUGGUGUAGCAGCUAGAAGUUGUAAGACUGUUCGUCUUUUAAUUUUCU